rnacentral:tRNA from 1 species
GGCUCAAUGGUCUAGUGGUAUGAUUGUCGCUUCGGGAUAGCCAGCCUAUGGUUGUAAAAGCCAUGAAAUGUGACAGGCCUCGGGUUCGAAUCCCGAUUGAGCCC